rnacentral:rRNA from 1 species
CCUACGGGGGGCAGCAGUAGGGAAUAUUGCUCAAUGGGGGAAACCCUGAAGCAGCAACGCCGCGUGGAGGAUGAAGGUUUUCGGAUUGUAAACUCCUUUUGUUAGAGAAGAUAAUGACGGUAUCUAACGAAUAAGCACCGGCUAACUCCGUGCCAGCAGCCGCGGGAAUACGGAGGGUGCAAGCGUUACUCGGAAUCACUGGGCGUAAAGAGCGCGUAGGCGGGAUAGCAAGUCAGAUGUGAAAUCCUAUGGCUUAACCAUAGAACUGCAUUUGAAACUGUUAUUCUAGAGUAUGGGAGAGGUAGGUGGAAUUCUUGGUGUAGGCGUAAAAUCCGUAGAGAUCAAGAGGAAUACUCAUUGCGAAGGCGACCUGCUAGAACAUAACUGACGCUGAUGCGCGAAAGCGUGGGGAGCAAACAGGAUUAGAUACCCCAGUAGUC